CUCCAGACUCCUACGGGAGGCAGCAGUGAGGAAUAUUGGUCAAUGGACGAGAGUCUGAACCAGCCAAGUAGCGUGAAGGAUGACUGCCCUAUGGGUUGUAAACUUCUUUUAUAUGGGAAUAAAACAGGGUAUGCAUACCCUCUUGUAUGUACCAUAUGAAUAAGGAUCGGCUAACUCCGUGCCAGCAGCCGCGGUAAUACGGAGGAUCCGAGCGUUAUCCGGAUUUAUUGGGUUUAAAGGGUGCGUAGGCGGGCGCUUAAGUCAGCGGUAAAAUUGCGGGGCUCAACCUCGUCGAGCCGUUGAAACUGGGUGCCUUGAGUGGGCGAGAAGUACGCGGAAUGCGUGGUGUAGCGGUGAAAUGCAUAGAUAUCACGCAGAACUCCGAUUGCGAAGGCAGCGUACCGGCGCCCAACUGACGCUGAAGCACGAAGGCGUGGGUAUCGAACAGGAUUAGAUACCCGAGUAGA
rnacentral:rRNA from 1 species